rnacentral:rRNA from 1 species
AGAGUUUGAUCCUGGCUCAGAUUGAACGCUGGCGGCAGGCUUAACACAUGCAAGUCGAGCGGUAGCACAGGGGAGCUUGCUCCCUGGGUGACGAGCGGCGGACGGGUGAGUAAUGUCUGGGAAACUGCCUGAUGGAGGGGGAUAACUACUGGAAACGGUAGCUAAUACCGCAUAACGUCGCAAGACCAAAGAGGGGGACCUUCGGGCCUCUUGCCAUCAGAUGUGCCCAGAUGGGAUUAGCUAGUAGGUGGGGUAAUGGCUCACCUAGGCGACGAUCCCUAGCUGGUCUGAGAGGAUGACCAGCCACACUGGAACUGAGACACGGUCCAGACUCCUACGGGAGGCAGCAGUGGGGAAUAUUACACAAUGGGCGCAAGCCUGAUGCAGCCAUGCCGCGUGUGUG